GGGGUAAAGUGAAAUUUGCUCUAGAAAUAUAUCAUGACACUUGGUUUGAGCUCUUGUUCAUUGUAGUGCCAACAUGUAGAUGUGAUUAAAAAUGUUCUUUCUCAUGAUUGUGUUGGUAAUGUAUGGAAACCUGAAACUACUUAUAUUCAGUAUUCAUAUAUUAACUUUGGGCCAACCUUCUUGUGGACCACUAAAUUUUUGGGUUAUCUGGUAAAUCUUUUGCAAGCAAGAUACAAUAUUACAGAAUCUUGCCUAUACACCUGCCACAUAUUGCGAUUUGAUGUUGUGGAAGGCCUUAUUAUGAGAUCUGAAAAUGCCAACCCAAUGUGAUGAAAUGUUUUUAUUGUUAUAGGGUUAAUAACGACCCAUAAACCUCUGCCUUUGGGCACGUGCAUGCAUAUUACUCAUCUUGCAUGAUUAUAUUCUACUAUAUGUGACCAAGAAUAAUUGGUUGAAUUGCGUUGCGUCUCCAACAUGGAAAAACACUAUUAAACUUGAUCUUCCUUUUGAAAAUUUGCACCAAUAAUAUUGCUUUUAUAAAUUAACCACUUCAGUGCUCUUCAGCACUGUCAAUGUUUUGUGCCAGUCUGAUAUUUUCUGUUCACAUAUCAUAUUUUUGAUGGUUCACUGUUGCUACCAUUCUUUCUAAUGCUCCUGUUUGCUUUUUAGACUCGACAACUUAUUGAUCCAAACAUCUACUGGUUUGCAAUUCCAAACAUCGGUUCGGUACUCAAGGGCCUCUCUCAGGGACGAAAGGAACUCUUGUCUUUUCUCAACCGUAGGAAAUACAAAGAGAUGAUGUUGGCUCUUUUGGAGAAGAAACGCCUCCGACUGUCUCCACUGGAUAUGAGAUUCCAUCUUCGUGAUCUGAUUGGUUCAGGUCACCUCAAAACUCUCCAGACACCAAGUGGCGUAGUUGUUCGGGUUGUAAAGGAUUAAACCCAGAUUGGACGCUAUCACCAGUUGAUCUCACCAAGUCACAAGACUGAAGUUGACAUUGUGACAUUGUACGCAUUGGAAUGAAUCAGUGCAAGAUGAUGUGAGUUCUCUACCACAAAAUUUUGAUUUAUUUAUUCAUUUGUUAACUUGUUAGAUGAUUUAUGUUAUGAUCUUUCCUUGAUCAAUUGAAAUUCUGUCAUCAGAAUUUAUAAAUUUAUCUGUAGAUUAAUGAACCUGUAUAUUUUUCAUCCUUUCUGGUUGAUCACUCUUCUACUUCAGUAGCUGUAUGUGAACUUCAAACUUCAGGUUGAAGUUGGUAUACUAAAUCCUAGAGCAGUCUGGUCUGGACUAAUAAAA